AACGAACGCUGGCGGCAGGCUUAACACAUGCAAGUCGAGCGCCCCGCAAGGGGAGCGGCAGACGGGUGAGUAACGCGUGGGAACAUACCCUUUCCUGCGGAAUAGCUCCGGGAAACUGGAAUUAAUACCGCAUACGCCCUACGGGGGAAAGAUUUAUCGGGGAAGGAUUGGCCCGCGUUGGAUUAGCUAGUUGGUGGGUAAAGGCCUACCAAGGCGACGAUCCAUAGCUGGUCUGAGAGGAUGAUCAGCCACAUUGGGACUGAGACACGGCCCAAACUCCUACGGGAGGCAGCAGUGGGGAAUAUUGGACAAUGGGCGCAAGCCUGAUCCAGCCAUGCCGCGCGAGUGAUGAAGGCCUUAGGGUUGUAAAGCUCUUUCACCGGAGAAGAUAAUGACGGUAUCCGGAGAAGAAGCCCCGGCUAACUUCGUGCCAGCCGCCGCCGUAACAC
rnacentral:rRNA from 1 species